rnacentral:rRNA from 1 species
GACGAACGCUGGCGGCGUGCUUAACACAUGCAAGUCGAACGGUGAAGCGCCUUCCUUUUUGGUGGGUGUUGAUGAGUGGCGAACGGGUGAGUAACACGUGAGUAACCUUCUCCCUUCUUCUGGAUAACCGCAAGAAAGUGUGGCUAAUACGGGAUAUUCUGGGUCUGUCGCAUGAUGGGUCUGGGAAAGAUAUUGUUUCGGUUGUGGAUGGGCUCGCGGCCGAUCAGCUUGUUGGUGGGGUGAUGGCCUACCAAGGCAGCGAAGGCUAGCCGGCCUGAGAGGGUGGACGGUCAGAAUGGGACUGAGACACCGCCCACCCUCGUACGGGAGGCAGCAGGAGGGUACAUGGCGGAAUGAGCGCAAGCCGGAUGCAGCGACGCCGCGUGAGGGAGGGAGGCGUUCGGGUUGACAACCUCUUUCGCCAGGGAAGCAGGCCUGCCUAGGUUGUGGGUGGGUUGACGGUAGCUGGAUAAGAAGCGCCGGCUAACUACGU